rnacentral:rRNA from 1 species
AGUCGAGCGAUGAACACCUUCGGGUGUGAAUUAGCGGCGAACGGGUGCCGAACACGUGAGAAAUCUGCCUUCACACUGGGAUAACUCCGGGAAACCGGGGCUAAUACCGGAUAUGAAAUCUGCGGGCAUCCGCGGAUUUGGAAAGUUUUUCGGUUGAAGAUGAUCUCGCGGCCCAUCAGCUUGUUGGUGAGGUAAUGGCUCACCAAGGCGACGACGGGUAGCCGGCCUGAGAGGGCGACCGGCCACACUGGGACUGAGACACGGCCCAGACUCCUACGGGAGGCAGCAGUGGGGAAUAUUGGGCAAUGGAGGAAACUCUGACCCAGCGACGCCGCGUGCGGGAUGAAGGCCUUCGGGUUGUAAACCGCUUUCAGCAGGGAAGAAGCGAAAGUGACGGUACCUGCAGAAGAAGCACCGGCUAACUAUGUGCCAGCAGCCGCGGUAAUACAUAGGGUGCAAGCGUUGUCCGGAAUUAUUGGGCGUAAAGAGCUCGUAGGUGGUUCGUCACGUCGGAUGUGAAACUCUGGGGCUUAACCCCAGACCUGCAUUCGAUACGGGCGAGCUUGAGUAUGGUAGGGGAGUCUGGAAUUCCUGGUGUAGCGGUGGAAUGCGCAGAUAUCAGGAGGAACACCAAUGGCGAAGGCAGGACUCUGGGCCAUUACUGACACUGAGGAGCGAAAGCGUGGGGAGCGAACAGGAUUAGAUACCCUGGUAGUCCACGCCGUANACGGUGGGCACUAGUUGUGGGGACCUUCCACGGUCUCUGCGACGCAGCUAACGCAUUAAGUGCCCCGCCUGGGGAGUACGAUCGCAAGAUUAAAACUCAAAGGA